rnacentral:rRNA from 1 species
UACGGAGGGUGCGAGCGUUGUCCAGAAUCACUGGGCGUAAAGGGCGCGUAGGCGGCGCGGAAAGUCGUCGGUGAAAGCUCGGGGCUCAACCCUGAGUCUGCCGGUGAUACUCCCGCGCUCGAGCUCACUAGAGGCAGAUGGAAUUCCGGGUGUAGCGGUGGAAUGCGUAGAGAUCCGGAAGAACACCGGUGGCGAAGGCGGUCUGCUGGGGUGAGGCUGACGCUGAUGCGCGACAGCGUGGGGAGCAAACAGG